AUACGGAGGGUGCAAGCGUUAAUCGGAAUUACUGGGCGUAAAGCGCGCGUAGGCGGCUGAUUAAGUCGGAUGUGAAAUCCCUGGGCUCAACCUAGGAACUGCAUCCGAUACUGGUCAGCUAGAGUUUUGGAGAGGUAAGUGGAAUUUCCGGUGUAGCGGUGGAAUGCAUAGAGAUCGGAAGGAACACCAGUGGCGAAGGCGACUUACUGGCCAAAAACUGACGCUGAGGUGCGAAAGCGUGGGUAGCGAACAGGAUUAGAAACCCUAGUAGUCC
rnacentral:rRNA from 1 species